UACGUAGGGUGCAAGCGUUAAUCGGAAUUACUGGGCGUAAAGCGUGCGCAGGCGGUUUUGUAGUUUGUCGUGAAAUCCCCGGGCUUAACCUGGGAAUUGCGAUGAAGACUGCAAGGCUAGAAUCUGGCAGAGGGGGGUAGAAUUCCACGUGUAGCAGUGAAAUGCGUAGAGAUGUGGAGGAACACCGAUGGCGAAGGCAGCCCCCUGGGUCAAGAUUGACGCUCAUGCACGAAAGCGUGGGGAGCAAACAGG
rnacentral:rRNA from 1 species